CCAGAUGGGAAUGUGACACAGUCAGUCACCCAAUCCAAAAAGAUGCCACUUCAUGUGGUGUCUAUGCAUUAAAGUUUGCUGAGUGCAUCCUGAGUGGCCUUCCUGUUGCAUUUGACAACUCGGUGAAAACCAUACAUGAAAUGAGAGAGCAGAUUGCGAUCUGCCUCCUGGAAAACACAGACGACUUGACUGAACUUUGCCAUCUUUGUGGGCUGGUGAAUGGUGACACCCACUGGAUUGGGUGUGACUUGUGCCCACGAUGGUAUCACCGAAACUGCCUGAAAAAGAAAACAGGGAAAAAGUUUGUCUGUGAAGUGUGUCAGAAGAAGAAAUAAUGUCUUCAUUUGGCUGAUUACUACUUUGAAUUUUUUUAUUUUUUUUUUUAUUUUUUUUUUUAAUUUUUUUAUUUU